AGGCCCGUAGCUCAGCGGUAGAGCAGGCGUCUUAUACACGCCGGGUCGAUGGUUCGAAUCCAUCCGGGCCUA
rnacentral:tRNA from 1 species